rnacentral:rRNA from 1 species
AGCGAACGCUGGCGGCAGGCCUAACACAUGCAAGUCGAACGAACUCUUCGGAGUUAGUGGCGGACGGGUGAGGAACACGUGGGAACGUGCCUUUUGGUUCGGAAUAACUCAGGGAAACUUGUGCUAAUACCGAAUGUGCCCUUCGGGGGAAAGAUUUAUCGCCAUUAGAGCGGCCCGCGUCUGAUUAGCUAGUUGGUGAGGUAACGGCUCACCAAGGCGACGAUCAGUAGCUGGUCUGAGAGGAUGACCAGCCACACUGGGACUGAGACACGGCCCAGACUCCUAGGGGAGGCAGCAGUGGGGAAUCUUGCGCAAUGGGCGAAAGCCUGACGCAGCCAUGCCGCGUGAAUGAUGAAGGUCUUAGGAUUGUAAAAUUCUUUCACCGGGGACGAUAAUGACGGUACCCGGAGAAGAAGCCCCGGCUAACUUCGUG